CGGGGGGAGCAAGCGUUGUUCGGAUUUACUGGGCGUAAAGGGCGCGUAGGCGGCCACCGCAAGUCGACUGUGAAAUCUCUGGGCUUAACCCAGAACGGUCAGCCGAUACUGCGGGGCUAGAGUGCAGAAGGGGCAACUGGAAUUCUCGGUGUAGCGGUGAAAUGCGUAGAUAUCGAGAGGAACACCUGCGGCGAAGGCGGGUUGCUGGGCUGACACUGACGCUGAGGCGCGAAAGCUAGGGGAGCGAACGGGAUUAGAUACCCCGGUAGUCCUAGCCUUAAACGAUGAAUGCUUGGUGUCUGGGGUUUUAUAGUACCCGGGUGCCGUCGCUAACGCUUUAAGCAUUCCGCCUGGGGAGUACGGUCGCAAGACUG
rnacentral:rRNA from 1 species